GGACGAACGCUGGCGGCGUAGCCUAAUACAUGCAAGUCGAACGGUCUUUCUAUGGAAGCUUGCUUCCACUGAGAAGAUAGUGGCGAACGGGUGAGUAACACGUGGGUAACCUGCCCAUAAGAGGGGGGAUAACAUCCGGAAACGGGUGCUAAUACCGCAUAGUUUUCUUGAUCGCAUGAUUGAGAAAGGAAAGACGGCCUUUGUGCUGUCGCUUAUGGAUGGACCCGCGGCGUAUUAGUUAGUUGGUGAGGUAACGGCUCACCAAGACGAUGAUACGUAGCCGACCUGAGAGGGUGAUCGGCCACAUUGGGACUGAGACACGGCCCAAACUCCUACGGGAGGCAGCAGUAGGGAAUCUUCCGCAAUGGACGAAAGUCUGACGGAGCAACGCCGCGUGAGUGAAGAAAAGGGUUUUCGGAUCGUAAAACUCUGUUGUCAGAGAAGAACAAGUUGGAGAGUAACUGCUCCAGCCUUGACGGUAUCUGACCAGAAAGCCACGGCUAACUACGUGCCAGCCGCUGC
rnacentral:rRNA from 1 species